rnacentral:rRNA from 1 species
CCUACGGGCGGCUGCAGUGGGGAAUAUUGGACAAUGGGGGGAACCCUGAUCCAGCCAUGCCGCGUGUGUGAAGAAGGCCCUCGGGUUGUAAAGCACUUUCAGUGAGGAAGAACGCCUGGUGGUUAAUACCCAUCAGGAAAGACAUCACUCACAGAAGAAGCACCGGCUAACUCCGUGCCAGCAGCCGCGGUAAUACGGAGGGUGCGAGCGUUAAUCGGAAUUACUGGGCGUAAAGCGCGCGUAGGUGGCUUGAUAAGCCGGUUGUGAAAGCCCCGGGCUCAACCUGGGAACGGCAUCCGGAACUGUCAAGCUAGAGUGCAGGAGAGGAAGGUAGAAUUCCCGGUGUAGCGGUGAAAUGCGUAGAGAUCGGGAGGAAUACCAGUGGCGAAGGCGGCCUUCUGGACUGAAACUGACACUGAGGUGCGAAAGCGUGGGUAGCAAACAGGAUUAGAUACCCGUGUAGUC